AGGAGAGCGAGCGAGAGAGAAAAGGUGAGCGAGCGAGAGAGAAAAGGAGAGCGAGCGAGAGAGAAAAGGUGAGCGAGAGAGAGAGAAAAGGAGAGCGAGAGAGAGAGAAAAGGUGAGCGAGAGAGAGAGAAAAGGAGAGCGAGAGAGAGAGAAAAGGUGAGCGAGAGAGAGAAAAGGAGAGCGAGAGAGAGAGAAAAGGUGAGCGAGAGAGAGAGAAAAGGUGAGCGAGAGAGAGAGAAAAGGUGAGCGAGAGAGAGAGAAAAGGAGAGCGAGAGAGAGGCGAGAAAAAAUAAAGAGUCAGUCAACAAUGAGAGGAACAACAAACCAACUGUUCACCAGUCACCCAACAGCUAUGAACAUUCCCACACACACG